rnacentral:rRNA from 1 species
ACGCUAGCUACAGGCUUAACACAUGCAAGUCGAGGGGAAACGGCAUUGAGUGCUUGCACUCUUUGGACGUCGACCGGCGCACGGGUGAGUAACGCGUAUCCAACCUUCCCAUUACUGUGGGAUAACCUGCCGAAAGGCAGACUAAUACCGCAUAGUCUUCGAUGACGGCAUCAGAUUUGAAGUAAAGAUUUAUCGGUAAUGGAUGGGGAUGCGUCUGAUUAGCUUGUUGGCGGGGUAACGGCCCACCAAGGCAACGAUCAGUAGGGGUUCUGAGAGGAAGGUCCCCCACAUUGGAACUGAGACACGGUCCAAACUCCUACGGGAGGCAGCAGUGAGGAAUAUUGGUCAAUGGACGGAAGUCUGAACCAGCCAAGUAGCGUGCAGGAUGACGGCCCUAUGGGUUGUAAACUGCUUUUGUAUGGGGAUAAAGUUAGGGACGUGUCCCUAUUUGCAGGUACCAUACGAAUAAGGACCGGCUAAUUCCGUGCCAGCAGCCGCGGUAAUACGGAAGGUCCAGGCGUUAUCCGGAUUUAUUGGGUUUAAAGGGAGCGUAGGCUGGAGAUUAAGUGUGUUGUGAAAUGUAGACGCUCAACGUCUGAAUUGCAGCGCAUACUGGUUUCCUUGAGUACGCACAACGUUGGCGGAAUUCGUCGUGUAGCGGUGAAAUGCUUAGAUAUGACGAAGAACUCCGAUUGCGAAGGCAGCUGACGGGAGCGCAACUGACGCUUAAGCUCGAAGGUGCGGGUAUCAAACAGGAUUAGAUACCCUGGUAGUCCGCACAGUAAACGAUGGAUGCCCGCUGUUGGUACCUGGUAUCAGCGGCUAAGCGAAAGCAUUAAGCAUCCCACCUGGGGAGUACGCCGGCAACGGUGAAACUCAAAGGAAUUGACGGGGGCCCGCACAAGCGGAGGAACAUGUG